rnacentral:rRNA from 1 species
GACAGAGGGGGCAAGCGUUGCUCGGAAUUACUGGGCGUAAAGGGCGCGUAGGCGGAAUGGCAAGUCGGUCGUGAAAUCCUUCGGCUCAACCGAAGAACGUCGAUCGAAACUGCCGUUCUUGAGGAUUGCAGAGGAGACUGGAAUUCCCGGUGUAGCGGUGAAAUGCGCAGAUAUCAGGAGGAACACCGGUGGCGAAGGCGGUGGUCUGGGCCGGCACUGACGCUGAGGAGCGAAAGCGUGGGGAGCGAACAGG